UACAGAGGGUGCAAGCGUUAAUCGGAAUUACUGGGCGUAAAGCGUGCGUAGUCGGUUAUCUAAGUCGGGUGUGAAAUCCCCGGGCUCAACCUGGGAACUGCAUCCGAGACUGCAUUGCUAGAGUAUGGGAGAGGGAAGCGGAAUUUCUGGUGUAGCAGUGAAAUGCGUAGAUAUCAGAAGGAACAUCAGUGGCGAAGGCGGCUUCCUGGACCAAUACUGACGAUCAGGUGCGAAAGCGUGGGGAGCAAACAGG
rnacentral:rRNA from 1 species